AACAGAGCUGAUGACAUCACUGAUGACAUCAGCAUCAUUGAUGAUGCUGAUGUCAUCAGUGAUGUCAUCAGCUCUGUU
rnacentral:miRNA from 1 species